UCAGGAUGAACGCUGGCGGCGUGCCUAAUACAUGCAAGUCGAGCGAACAGAUAAGGAGCUUGCUCCUUUGACGUUAGCGGCGGACGGGUGAGUAACACGUGGAUAACCUACCUAUAAGACUGGGAUAACUUCGGGAAACCGGAGCUAAUACCGGAUAACAUAUUGAACCGCAUGGUUCAAUAGUGAAAGGCGGCUUUGCUGUCACUUAUAGAUGGAUCCGCGCCGUAUUAGCUAGUUGGUAAGGUAACGGCUUACCAAGGCAACGAUACGUAGCCGACCUGAGAGGGUGAUCGGCCACACUGGAACUGAGACACGGUCCAGACUCCUACGGGAGGCAGCAGUAGGGAAUCUUCCGCAAUGGGCGAAAGCCUGACGGAGCAACGCCGCGUGAGUGAUGAAGGUCUUCGGAUCGUAAAACUCUGUUAUCAGGGAAGAACAAAUGUGUAAGUAACUGUGCACAUCUUGACGGUACC
rnacentral:rRNA from 1 species